rnacentral:rRNA from 1 species
UACAGAGGUCCCAAGCGUUGUUCGGAUUCACUGGGCGUAAAGGGUGCGCAGGUGGGUUGGCAAGUUCGAUGUGAAAGCCCCGGGCUUAACCCGGGAAUGGCAUUGGAUACUGUUGAUCUGGAGGGUCGGAGGGGGGACUGGAAUUCAUGGUGUAGCAGUGAAAUGCGUAGAGAUCAUGAGGAAGACCAGUGGCGAAGGCGGGUCUCUGGACAGUUCCUGACACUGAGGCACGAAGGCCAGGGGAGCAAACGGG